AUUCGUGCAUAACCGCACGGAAGGGGUUUUCAAAGCGGUGUGACGGGCACCCACCCCUUUCCGGCGAGUCCUUGAGUAAUU
rfam:Candidatus Desulforudis audaxviator MP104C, complete genome.